rnacentral:rRNA from 1 species
UACGGAGGGUGCAAGCGUUUAUCCGGAUUCACUGGGUUUAAAGGGAGCGUAGGUGGGCUGGUAAGUCAGUGGUGAAAUCUCCGGGCUUAACUCGGAAACUGCCGUUGAUACUAUCAGUCUUGAAUAUUGUGGAGGUAAGCGGAAUAUGUCAUGUAGCGGUGAAAUGCUUAGAUAUGACAUAGAACACCGAUAGCGAAGGCAGCUUGCU